GAGAUCAGAUGCAAACACACACAGUCAAUGAUUAUAUGUGCUUCUUCUUCUUCUUCUUCAGUCUAUUUGUUUUAAUCAGACUGCGGUGGUGUCCACCUGUGGCAAUCAACUGCUGUUUCCAUGGAAACAGGUGGCAUGCUUCCUUAGAACAUGAAGGAAGGAGGAGAGCGAGUAGAGAGGAGAGAGGAAGAGAGAGGAGCACGAGAUAAUGAGGAGAGGUGGACAGACUGUGAAGAAUAAGCAGCAAAGAAAAAGGAAAACAUGUUCAGUUACUCUGGAUCAUCCACAGACCUACUGAAGAAAGAGGCUUCAGAAAGUUGUUCCAAUGAAAACUCUUCAUGAAUCUCCUCCAAAACGUUGGAAAACUAUCUGCAGCUGGUGCCAACAGAGGGUUUCCAUACUGUACCGAGGACGUGGACAACGCUGCCUUCGAUACCGAUGUAUUCAUGAGCUCUUUGUUUCACAUGUAUGAGAGUUGAGAAGGAAAUGUGACAGAAACUGGAGACUAAGUGGCGGAGGGCGACUUGGAAACGCUGCGCUCUCAAACAGCUCAUCAGCAGCUGUUAGUACGGGAUCAAUCACGUCGACACCGCGUGGUACAUUUGAACUUUGAAUAAAACUCAAAGCUGUUGUAAAAAUGUUACUUUGCAUUGAUCUGAAUACUUUGAUAGGAAUAUCAAAUAAAUUCAAAGUUCAGUGAAGUCGGUGUAGAUGUUUCUAUAUCUCCCUUUGAGCCGCACAUAUCAGUGUGUACUAUUUACAUUUACAGUGGAUUAAAGCCGGAUCAGUCACUAUGGUGUGUAAGGAACACACACAUGUACACAUGUAUGUAGCUAUCAUCAUCACCUGCUGUAUAUUUCCUGCAAGCUUGCUGCAAUGCGCUUCUCUGCAUGGAUAAAUAUAUAAAAUUCACACUCACACGUACUUGCCAACCCUCCAGAUUUCCCCUGUUUUUCAUUUUCCUCCCGGGAUCACAAUUCUCUCGUAUUGCUCUCGAUUUAUGGCAAUUUUUCACAUAUGCACGCUGUAUAGUGUGUAUAAGCCCGACUGUUUCCACCCGGACAACAAUGCAGCUACACCAAAUGUCGUUUCCUGGUGGAAGAGAGCUGCUUGUGACACAACGCAGUUUGAGCUGCGCUCGCCGCACAUC